rnacentral:tRNA from 1 species
GAGGGUAUAGCUCAGUGGUAGAGUGCAUGCUUAGCAUGCACGAGGUCCUGGGUUCAAACCCUAGCACCUCUA